AAAAAAAAAAAAAGAAGAAAAACAACACACUAAAUUGAAAAAAUCAAAAUGAUGAAUAAGAUCAUGUGUCAGAAUCCGCAAUAUAGAAUCCCAGUGUAAAGUAGUAAUUCAAAAAUCAUCAAGAAAUAUGAUGCUUAUGUCACAUUCAAAUUCAACAAAACAAGUAAACUGAUGCUUCAAAUUUCUCCUGUUUGGCAGCCAAAUUCAAACUAGAUUACUGUUUUUAACAUGUAAUAGCCUAAUUAGAGACUACAAUUCCCAAUUAGAGGCUACAAUUCAAACAAUAUUGUACUAAAAUUAUAUCUUGCUUGAGACAUGAUAAAAUGAAAUGAACACUUAAGCUUUUGGAAUACAUACUUAAGGAACAUAUAUAACAGUCACGCAUAACCAGAAGUAAAACCCUCCAUAAAAAAAAGAGAUCCUUCCUACUUACUUCAACUAUGACAGCAUCACCAAAUCCGAAGCCACAAGCUGGAAUGUCAUCACCACCAAAAGUAGAGAGCAGGCGAUCAUAUCUCCCACCACCACAUAUGGCUCUCAGCUUUCCUUCUCUAUCAAAACCCUAAAGGAUAAGAACUUAAGCCAUUUUAGAUGGUUACUUCGAAAGAGGGGAGGAGCAGAAUCUUUGUGAUCAAGCUGUACAUGAUCUAAUGGAUGAAUAACGUCGAUCACUGAAGAUCAAAGCAAAGCUUUCCAGCAUACUGUAAAAUGCAUCUCAUCCACAUUGUAAAUUAUUUUAGAGAGACAUGAAAGACUGUUUUUCUUGCACACAGGAUGAGCAGGAUGCUACAAUUGUAUGCAGUAUUCAUCUAAUGAAGUAUCUAAAACACAUGUUUUCAAACAAGACUGUUAUAUGCCACUUGUUUCAUGUGUGAGCUAGUGAUCUCGUGCUAUUAUUUAGCAUCACUCCAGAGGACUAUUGCUAUGCAUCUCUAGGUGUGUAAGGUCAGCAGUUCAUGUUUUCAUGCAAUAUAUCUGGAACAGGCACAGAGAAGUGCCUUCUGUCCACCCCAUGCAACAGCAUUUUAUUGAUUGAGAGAGUAGCAUUUUUAAGCACAAUUCUUCCAUCAGUGUCUACGGUGAAGUUAAAGAUGGAAAAAUGAUCUCAUAAAUCUAACCUCAAAAACAAUACCAGUGUAAUAGGCAAGGCCACGGACAACGGAUGCAUCAAACUGAAUCCACUCAGAAUAACCAAACUUUUCAGCAAGCGAGAAAAGUUGUUUAAGAUCAGCAACUGCUUCCCCUGCACCUCCAAGUAUUUCUUCCAACUUUGUCAAUGACUUUAUGGAAAGGACUCGCAGCAGGUCCUCAACAGCCUCCUCUGACAUCCCAACUGACUUCAAAUCCUUUUUAAUUUCAUCCAUAGGAAUCUUCUCGAUCUUGUCUAUUAUGAUGCAAACCUUGCCAAACAAAUUUUCAGAUAUGGAAUAGCACCUCAAUACUUCCUGCAGAACCUUUCGGCUAGAAACCUUGAAUCCAACAUCUGAUGCAGUGACUCCAAUCCGCUUGAAAAAUGUAACUAUAGAAGAAAUAAGCUCUGCUUCAGCUGUGACUUCAGGUACACCAAUAAUAUCCAUAUUCCAUUGGUAGUGCUCACGCCGACGACCCCUCGUCAUCCUUUCAUAUCGCCAGCACUGUCCAACAGCAAACCAUUUCAGUGGGAGGGGUACUGAUUUUCCUUUCUGUAUUACUAGCCUUGCCAGAGAUGGAGUGAGCUCAGGCCUCAAUGCAACACGACGAUUUCCACGAUCUUCAAAACAAUAUAACUGGUCCCUAAUUUCCUCUCCGGCUUUCCUAAUAAACAAUGCCUCCGACUCCAACACUGGGAAAUCAACCUCUUCAAAUCCAUACAAUCUCGAGACCUCUCUGAAAUUGUGGAACAGCCAGUUACGGAGGCGCAUUUCUUCAGGAGGAAAAUCCCUAGUCCCUUUUGGAGGAUUGACGUCGAUUUUUUUAACAGCUUCCUCUAGAAGCGGCGGCGGAGCCGAUAGGGAGCCGGACCUGCCACGGCUAUCGCCAUUUUCAGUUGGAGACUGUGCGGAGGCUACAGAGGAAAGAGUUCUAGGGUUUAUCGGGACUGAUCGCCUGGGCAGAGGGAAUUUGCGAAGGAAGAGUGGCUUCACGUAGAGGCUGAGGCGUGGGUUUAGGAUAUGAAGUGAAGAUAGGACUGGAGGCAUGGCGGUGGCCGUAAUGGAAAUGGCCGGUACUGGUCUCCUCUAUGCUCGUUCGCUGGGCAGCUAUGCUGGAAGAGAUAGCGUCUACCAUCUGUGGGUUGGGACCAUAACAGAAAUGGGCCAGCCGAGGGAUGUGCGUAAGCUCAUUUGA
rnacentral:misc_RNA from 1 species